GCGCGAUGGCGUGGCACAGGGGUGGGUCGAUGUCCGCAGGCACACACACACAACAUUCCAGCCCUCACCCGAAAUCGCCCCUCCGCGCGCACGGGGACGAGGGGGAACGCGAAAUCUCAUGUCUUCUUUGUCUUACAGGCCCGAACGGAGACAUCUCCUGGGGGCCAAUGAAUCACAGACCUUGAGAAUGGGGAGACAGACUAAAUUCCAUAUAUGUGUAUGAAAGGGUCUAUGCAUCAAUGCAUGUUUCCUUGGUUAUGUGUGUGUGUGUGUAUAUAUAUAAACCCUGAUACUCAUACGUGCUUGCACGGCAACACAGGAGUUAUUUAGACAGCCAGGGUUUUAAAUAUCAUUUGUACAUUGAAAUAUUGUAUAUAUCGUAGGAGUGCUUCCUACGGGAUGCCGUGAUUUCAUAGCCCUGUCUAGGACCUACUGUGGUGUUUGUCUUCACUCGUGCCUGCGGUGGAACAAAAAAAAGCGAUGCUUCGAGGCUGGCAGUACCUCUGCAGACCCACCAGAUGGAGACUGUGGGAAUGAUGCCGAGCAGGACGAGAGAGGAAGAACUUCGUCCGGAGGGGUCAGGGCUUCCUGUAUGGAGGAUCCUUCCACAAUGCGCAUGCGAGGAGGUACUUCUCUGCUGCAAAGGGUUUUUGGGGCUCGGAUGAAAAAAAAGAAAUCCGCGUUAGUAGCAGCCACCGGGUGCAUGACCUACUGUGGUGUUUGUCUUCACAAGAGCCUGCGGUGGAAAAAAAAAAAAAAGUGAUGCUUCGAGGCUGGCAGUACCUCUGCAGACCCACCAGAUGGCGACUGUGGGAAGGAUGCCGAGCAGGACGAGAGAGGAAGAACUCCGUCAGGAAGGGUCAGGGCUUCCUGUCUGGACGACCCGUCCGGAACAAUGCGCAUUGCGAGGAGGUACUUCUCUGCUGCAAAGGGUUUUUGGGGCUCGGAUGAAAAAAAAGAAAUCCGCGUUAGGAGCAGCCACCGGGUGCAUAGCCUGCGGUGGAAAAAAAAAAAAAAGUGAUGCUUCGAGGCUGGCAGUACCUCUGCAGACCCACCAGAUGGCGACUGUGGGAAGGAUGCCGAGCAGGACAAGAGAGGAAAAACUCCGUCAGGAGGGGUCAGGGCUUCCUGUAUGGAGGACCCGUCCGGAACAAUGCGCAUGCGAGGAGGUACUUCUCUGCUGCAAAGGGUUUUUGGGCCUCGGAUAUAAAAAAAAAAAGAAAUCCGCGUUAGUAGCAGCCACUGGGUGCAUGUAAGUCGGUGGACCGGAAUCUGGCCACCUGCCCUGAUUUGUGUUUAACAUGAUUAGCAAUAUCAAUGUUUAGAAAGUUCGCAGUGUGCUUCCGUAUUGACAGAGGCUCAUCAUAUAGCCUAAACGUUGACGUAUAGCACACAUAGAACGCGUUGGCUAACAUACACAGACUGAUUUCAUUGUUAGAAACCUGAUGUAAUGUUUGUAUAAAUUUAUGAAACAAGUGUGUAUAUAUAAAACGAUGGUUGUUCAUGAAGACAAGAAACGUUCUUGAACACUUUAUUAGGACACCUGGACUGUACAGAAUAUACUUUGUAUAAUAGGCACAACAGGUGCCUUUAUAAAAAUUAUAAAAAGACAUUCCGCUGCUUGCCAAA